GAAGCACGACAGCCAGUCCAGCCACCAUUUGGGUGCUCAUCUCCCUCUGCUCGGCACCUAGCCCCAGCUCGCCCGAGCUCCCUGCGCCGACCUCAUCUUCCCCAUGGCGCGUCACCUUCUAGUCCUCUCCUUCCCACGGCACAGCAGCGCCCCUGCAGCUCCCCUUCUCCAGAUCCAUGGCACCCAACACCUUGAGCGCCCCUGCCGCUGCUCCUCCACCGGGAUCUCCUCCUCCACUAGGCGUCCAGGCUUGUCCCACCGUGGCUGCCCCUCCUCCAUCUCCUCCCUCCCCACCAGGUUACCCAGAUUCCAUGGCCGCCGCCGCCCCAGCCAUCUCCCUGGUGGCCGACCUCGCCCCUGCCCCAGCCACAGCUCCCCCUUCGGCCCUGCUGCUGCAAGCACUCAGCCUCUCCCAUGGCACACGGUACUCGUCCAGCCCCUUUCUACUGGUGGCUGAGCCAUCUCUCUGGUGCUCGAUGAAAUGACCAUGAGGAGUUUUGUGUUGUGUGCAGCCCCAUCUGCAACACCGUCGACCCCCGACGAGGUCCUUUCUCGCCUUGUCGUUUUAGUACUCGGCGUCGAUUAAGUAGAUGCUAACCGUGUGUAUAUUCGUGUGUUCUUGUGAGGAGAAAUCCCAUGAUUUGGGGGAAGACGAAGUCCAAGCACAACCCCCGCCAAUCGCUCGAUGAAAAAUCUAAACCAAAACCCUCAGCGUUUUCAAGGGUUCCGGAGGGAUUUUAUGUUGGUAAGGCUUUGAUGAUUGCUGUACAAGGAUGAUAUGGCCUCCCGCCCAAAGCUGUCUGGUAUUCAGAAGCAGGUUUUGGCGCUGUAUAGGGGAUUCCUUCGGACAGCACGCCUUAAGGCCCCUGAAGAACGCCGCAGGAUCGAGUCUGUUAUCUUGGCAGAGUUCCGUGACAACGCAAGGAGUGUUGACCUUAGGAACUUUGUACACAUAGAGUACUUGUUGAGGAGAGGGAAGAAGCAUCUUGAGCAGCUCAAGAAUCCUGAUAUUACUGGACUCGCUACCCUUGUAGUAAAGAAAUGAGCAAGAGAAGAAGGAAGACUAGUCAGACAAAAUAGAAGACGAGAAGAACUGAUGUAGCCAUGUUCAUGCUUCCAUGUAAUAGUUCAUUAUUCCAUACAUAUUUCUGUCUAUCCAGAAUCUACUAUUGAAAUACAUAUCUAGCAUAGCUUGCUCAGCUCCUAUAUGUUGUUUCAACGUUGAUUUAAAAGAAGAGCUGGUAGUUGUGGGCUUUUGAACAAUAGCUGGAGUGAUAUGAAAUAUUAGUGAUGUAGUUGUGGGCUUUUAAACUGCUUCAAGCUGGAGUGAUGUCGCUGUGGUGCUUUUGUGACUGAUCAUCUCUAGAGCUUUUGUGAAUGAUCUAG
rnacentral:lncRNA from 1 species